UAGAUUUUAAGGAAACAACUACAAGGUUUUCUCAAAUAAGAGCUUUACUCGGCCAAAUUCCUUUCCUUCGAAAGCAUUGGUAUUGUUUGAAAAGAAAAGAGAUGAACCCAUGUGAUUAGGUGUGGUAUAGAGAAUCAAAUAAGACUGUAGUAACGAAUAAAUAUAGGUUACUCUGAAUUAACGAGUUAGUUGAUCAACAUUAAGGAGCUAAGUGUUUUUGUCUAAGAUUGAUUUGCGGUCUAGGCAUCACUAGUUGAAGGUUAAGAGAGGACUUAUUUUAAAGAAAACUCUUUACAUAUGCUCUGAGCAUUUUGAAAUUCUGGUUAUGUCUUUUGAGUUUACUAAUGCUCUAACAUCUUUAUGGAUAUUUGAUAGCAUUAGGAUAACGGUCAUAAACUUGGGCGUUUUCAAAUCA
rnacentral:lncRNA from 1 species